rnacentral:lncRNA from 1 species
CCACUGAAUCCUCUGGACUUAUGGCAUGUAUUACUCUGGGACAUAUUUAUUCUCACAUGUGCAGGUCAUUCCAUACACCUGUAUACCUACUGUGAGAAGUGAUCACAUUAGCCAACUUAGAUAUCAACUGCCUCACAGUGCUGUGAAGUCCACAUGUGGAGCUGUAAUGUCAGCUGCUACACAUUUGCUUCUGGUUAUGGAACACCCAUGAAUGGCAGUUUAUUGGGUGCAAAGAUACUUGAGUGCAAAGAUGCCAAUAAUCCAGCUUCCACAUUUUACUCCUGUCAAGUUUAGCAGCCAGCUCUCCUUUCAAACUCCGUUUCUUUGCAGGUAAAAUGUGAAUAUCUACAAGAUUCUUGCAACAAAAUAUAUCCUAUGAGGUCUGCUCUUUGAUCAUGCUUUAUACACUGAAGUUUAUCAAUAGAUCUUCACCCCUCUUCUUUCUGAUGAGAACAGCUGUUUUCACAGCUGGCAUCUACUACCAACCAUUCACUGUUCACUACCUUCACAGUAUCAUCUGUCAGGGAGGAGAGGUGUACACAGGAGCCCCAAGUUCCAGACUUCCGGCUUUACUUAGAGCUGUGCGGGUCUCUGUGGACCUUACUCCUUGGUUAGAGCACAAAUGGUGAAGUGUUGAAGGAAGCAGGCUCUGCCUUAGUGCCUUGCCCAGUCAGGUUGCAGAUGAGCAUGCUACUGUGUUCCUGGCCUCCUCAGUACUUUCCUUGCCCACUCCUUCACCCAAAAGUCACCUAGCAAACAGUAGGGUCAACCUGAGCUGUGCCAAGGUGAGGCAAUGCAAGCUGGAUGAGGCAAGUUGAAAACACCAAGGAAGAGACUAUGAAAGGCUGUGCAGCUCUCACUGAGGAAGAGCUGGAGAAAUGCACUUCACUGAUAUGCCAGGCAACUGGAGGAGCACAUUUUGCCUGGAAGCCUCAAGCCUCUGGGCUGUGGGCCAGAGGUUCUUUCCUAACUGAGCCUGGUCACAAGGGUCAGGAGAAUCAGAUGCUGCAAACAGUUCCUUGCUGUGGAUUGCGGAUCACACUUCGUGGGAGGCACCAGAGGUUCUUGGUGGCUCCCUUCUGUUUCUCGCCCUCUGUUUAUUAGCUACCUUAAGAUCUUAGCCAUCCCUUCUCAUGGACGCCUUUCUAGUUUCAACACCAGUGUUCUUAAACAGAAGAAACCUCCGAGACUCCAAAAUUCCAAGUGCCCCUUCCAUCACAGUGAGGACAUCUGGGAAAGAGAAAGUGGCCUUCACCAAGCAUGGCGUCGUUUAGUGCCUGGCAUUCAUUUAGACUCAGCAGUCCCAGAAUGGAGAGAGCUGUUUACUGUUCAUAAGCCAGCCAUUUUAGGGUGCUUUAGUAUUUUGUCACAGAAACCUAAAUGAUCCAAGAUAAUAAAGUGCCC